GCAGUGUGGACUUCUCUCUAGUUGCAGUGCGUGGGCUCCAGAGUGCAUGGGCUCUGCAGUUUGCUGUACACAGCCUCUUUAGUUGAGGCGUGUGGGUUCAGUAGUUGUGGCAGGCGGGCUCAGUUGCCCCUUGGCAUGUGGGAUCUUAGUUCCCCACCAGGGAUAGAAAUGCACCCCCUGCAUUGGAGGGUGGAUUCUUAACCACUGGACCACCAGGGAAGUCUCCCUGUUUGCUUUCUUAUGCUAGUAAAACUCAUAAGAGCUGAGCAUUUCAAAUGCAAGUUGCAAAUUUGAAAAGGGAAUAUCCAUGGUAAACAAUUGUUGGGGUUAACAAUCAUGGACUGUUAUCUUGUUUCCUCCAGGUAGUAGAUGUGCUUUGUGAUGCUGCAACAAAGUAAUAUUUAUGAUGACAGGCAGAUAAGCUAGGAAGGACAAUCUGUUUGAUUAUUUCCUUAUCAAAGAACCCUAGUAUUUUACUUUAGAGAUUUUUUAAUUUGGUAAAAUUUUAUUAAAACCCCAGUUUUGACAUUAGUUUUAAUAUAUUUUUUCUUCUAAAAAAGAAAACUUUUUUUAGCGAAGACUAUUGGAGAAGUAACUUUAAGUUUUUGGCCAGAAUGAAUGUUUCCAUAAACCUCUUCUUAUCUCCAAGAAAAAAAGGCCUUUGGUAUUUGAAAAUACUCUUCAUUGCUAUAUAGAAUCAGCGAACAACUCCUGUAAAAUGAGUAAGUUUUAGAAUCCAGGACUUAGGUCUGAUGUUGAUUAGCUAUGAGGAAAGAAGUGAAUCAAAUAGGCAAUUAUAAUGAAAAGGAAUUUUACAGCCACAUUAUAUUUCACAGGAACAAUAGUCUAAAAUUUGAUUUUAACCAUAUUGAACAUAUAUUGGAUUAGUAUUUAAAUGUAUUGGUAUAAGACAAAUUUUCCAUGAAUCCUAUUAUGGAAGAGGUUGCCUCUGAGGUAGCUAUAGCCCUGAAACAGUGACUUGACUUAUGAGGGUUCCAACGGCACAUUCCUCAAGGGUUUAAUGGUUUAUGCCACUAACUGACUGCAUGUGGAGCUGGACUCUUUAGGUACUUAAAUGAUUCUCACUUAAUGCCUUUUUAUGAGUUAUUGUUUACUUGGUAUAAACUAUAAAUUGUACUUUGCCAGUCACUGGCAAAAACUCACCCACUCUUUGGGAAAGGCUCCCUUUAUCACAAAAUAUCUUUCACCGUCAGGUGGUGUUGAGUGACUGUUACGCCAAGAAUGAACAGGAUGCCUUGGUAAUAAUUCUGGAUUUGCCUGUUGUAGUUCACUCCGAGAGUGUAAGCUAAUCCACCAAGAGACAUGCUUUGAUCUUCAUCCUCAUCAUUAGGAUGGAUGAGUCAUGUAAGAGGUCUGAGGUACUUUAUGAUUAAAUCCAGGAAGGUUUGCAAGCAUCAUAGUUCCAUGUUUCCCAUGACAGACAUAGCCAGAUUUCUUAAGAAUUUUUGGAGUUUUUAAAGAGGUGGGUAGCUGACCAAAUGUUUCAAUGCUUAUUCUGUUGGAAUUUCAGGAUUUAGUUAGCUGAUUUUUUUUUUUUUCCUUUUCCUUUUUCUCUUUCUACACUUAGAGGAAAAGAAACAUUCCUCAGGGUCUGGGUUUAAUAUUUGGUUGGGGGUCUAGAUUUACUCUAUGACUGCUCUUGACAGAGGGUAGCUCCUAAGUUGAGGUCCCUUGUUUUCACCUAGGAACCUAGACUGAGACCUAGAAUUUGGGAUAACACCUACUUUUGGAGUACACUGUUGGUCUUCUUCCUUUUGGAGUAGUUUGAGUUUUUUUAUUCCAAAAUCUCAGUUGAGAUAUAAUUUUCUUCUUGGUCUUUGGACCAAUCGCUUUGCAAUGCCAAGAACAUUUGCCUAUGUCUAAUUGACUUGUUUUGAGGGGUUGUGCCAGAGACCAGGGUCUGCCUCAGCUGUAGAGUUGUUUCACUCAAGAUCAUUCCCUUCCUGGAAACACUUGCAUCCAAUGACCGGUAGAGGUGAGUCCAUAAAAGUUUUUUCCACUUUAGUUUGAUGAAGGAUGGUGCUAAUCAGCAAGAGUUGCUCCACGUGGUCCCCCAACCCCUCACCCCUCCACCCAGAUUGACUGAAGCUUUGUUAGACCGUGUUGUGUCAAGGUUCAGCUUUUCACUCUGCCCAAUCUUAAUUCUGCCCCCUUUGUCUCAUAGGUGUAGAUCCCUAAUAAACCUCCGCGGCACAAAAUGGGGCUUAAAAGGUGUGAAGAGGUUUGGUUGAGGAGCGUCUUGUUGGUUUGUAUUAAGGAAUUUGGGCUUCAUCUGAGGGUGAUUGGAAUCUAUUGAAGGGUUUUAAUCAGAAGUAUUAUGUGAUUAAAUUUGCAUUUUAAAAAGUCACUUUAUCUGCAGAAAGGAGUAGAUAAGAGUGGAAAUAUUCUUAAUGCCCUGGAGGUACGGUCAGUGGAACUGUGUGCAGGGAGGCCAGCUACGAUGCUGCUGCAGAAAUUUAAGCGAGAGAUGAGUUGGUUAGGACUAAUAAUGUGACAAUGGCCGUAGACUUGUUAUUUAUUUAUUUGUUUUAUUGGUUGAAGGGGUGCCAAUGAAGGAGAGUCAAGGAAGACUCCUGGUCUCUGACUUGAGCAAUGAGAAUUCUUCCUGUAAAGAACAUACAAUUGAAUGGCUGUCUAUAUAGCCAGUAGGGCAAUUUCUAGACAGAAAGCCUUUAUUUCUAAGAUGAAUAACAGUAUAAUAACAGUAUAAUAACAGUUAUGUUAUACUGUGUUUUGGUGUCAGAGUUUUUGUUCUUCGGUGCUGCCGUUACUGACUUACCCCUAUUGAGUGGUAAGUUACAUGACAAGAUUUACAGUAAGGAAGUCUUGCCUCAAAAUGACUGUGGCUGAAGAUCUGCUUCCUUUCCCAGUCCUGUUUUGCUUCCAUAUCACACUCUCUUGGCUCUGGGCAUCAAAGUGUUACAAUAAAAAGAUCACUUGUAUUGAGAACUAUCCCCAACUAGCCUUAUAUGAUUCUAAAGAGAUUGUUUCUUUUUAAUCUUCAUAAAGACAGUAUAUCUGAAUUAUAAUUCUACAUCUGACCCAUUGGUCUCAAAUCAAACUUUGAUGGAGUUGAGGUCAAAUUUACCGUAGUAAAUUAUAUUACCUUCUCUGAGUAUUGACCGAUGAUGAACAGACUAUCUCCUUAACUGAAUGUCAAGAAUUUUUGUUUUAUAAUCUCUAUCUUGGAAUGCCUUCAUCAUAUUUGUUUCAAUUCUUUUUAAAUUUAUUUCAGAGGCUGAGGAAAUUAGAUGGAAAAAGAAGUGCUAGAGGUGGCAGCCAAUGGUAUAUGUAGAAAAGUACUUUUAUAGUCUCCCUGAAUACUAACUUUGUUGGUACCAGGCUGGAAUGAGAAGAGAGGGAUGGAUGUCUUUGAUUUCAGUGUUGGAUUUCCAAAAGAGAAAAGCUGAUGAUUUCUUUAGAUGUUAAAAGCCAGGAGUCAUUAUCAUCCAGAGUCUCAAGGAAAGACCAAGUGAUCCAUUAAAAAAACAAAAUGUUCCAUACAGUAGCAAUAAACACCUAAUAUUUUAGGUAUGUGUGGCAUGAAACAGUCCAUGUAAGUCAUUUUUCCAGAUAGCAUAUCUAUGUUAAAGUGCUAAAACUUUAUUUUUUUUCAAGGAAUCUUUUUAAAAUGUGUUACACAUUUCCUUAGUUUUUUUCAAAGAAAAGGUAUUUGGUAUUAUUUAAACAUUUUCUCACUGUCUCAGUUCUAUUGUUAUAAAUAAUAGCUAAUGAGCCAUAAUGUGACACACUAAUAUUACCAAUGAUUAUCUCAUUUGGGUUGUUUUAUACUGAAGAGCUUCAGGUUACUAUGCUUUUCUAUUUUUUUACCUCUAUUACUUUUAGUUUUUCUUACUUUUUUGAAUUAUAUAAACAUAACAAUGAACAGAGUUUCUUGUGAGUGAGAAACAGACUUAAAUUAUAGAUUUGUUACAUAUCUUUGGCUAUUUAUUUGUUCAUUGUGUAUUCUUUCAUUCAUUCAUUUUUUCUAUUUCCGUUUUCUUUUUUUUUUACUUGCUGAUUCUUACAACAUUACUGGUAUAGGUUAUGAGAUAAGAGAGCCAAAAUACUUAUUGAUAAAAAUCACACUUCUUCCUAGUUAAGCUAAAAAAAAAAAAACAAAAAAAAGCCCCCAAACCACCCCCCCACCAAAUUACAAAUGUCCUAGCAUCAGAUUUUGUCUUAAUUUAUAUUAUGAAACUACAAAUAGGGUUAACAUUGUUUCAGGCAUGAAUUUUAACAUAAUAUAAGGGUUACUUGAGCCUGUGCCACUUGUGCACAUGAACAAAAUCCCUAAGCAGUUAACUGGCCUUUUUUUAAAAAAAAAAACUGGCCUUCUUAACCCCAGGUGUUCUCUAUCAAGUUCAAUUCUUGAGGAGCAGGGAAGGAAGCUGUUGGGGAAGGGCACUGUCAUAGCAGUCAGUGAUUCACGAUGUAUAUUUGCCAGGGGAGACAGUGUAUCUUGAGUAGAGCAUGGGCUGGAGCUCAGAGGAGUUGGAAGAUAGCAGAAAUGACCAUCACAAAUGGCACCUGGGGCUCAGAUCAUCUUCAGUCAUUGCAGGGAGAAGUUUUUGUAGCUGAUUUUUUUCCUUCCUUUUUUGGGGGAGGGGAAUGGGAGGAUCAGGAGAUACCUUUUUCUGUAAUCUUUUGUUUUCUCUUGUGUAUUUUUUUCAAAAGAAUUUAGUAAAACAAACCAACCAAAACCGGGUGGUUCAAGAUCUCAUGGCCAAAAGCUUUGAAAAAGAAUUCCCUAGUGAUUGUAAAGCUGUUGCAGCUGAGAGCAAUAAGGUCUGAGCUUACUGCUCUUGAAAGCCUAACAGACUUGGGCUUAAGUAAUGCUUCUGCUCUUCCAAACCAACUGACCUUCAAGAAAUACUUAACCACUUCAAAUUACAGUAUCCUCACCUGUGAAAUGGAGGUAAUAAUAUCUACCUCAUAGAGUUGAGAGGAUUCAAUAAGAUCAUAUACCUGGGGAAAGCAUUGGAAGAAUUGUAGCAUUUAUAAGUAAUGUACUAAUAAUAUUCAACUUUCUUGUCUUGGUUUGUAAGUUCAAGUUCCUUUGUAACUAAUAGAUCAAUAGUCUUUACAGACUGCUUUUGCCAAAAGAAUUUUAGUUUUAUCUGGGUUUCAUUACCUUCCAUUUUAUCCUCCUUUUAGGAAGAUGAAAACGUGUUUUGGAAUAUUCUCUGUGGUUUUAAAGCAGGAAAUUGGGAGAGGGAAAGAAGAUAUUCAAGUUCCUUAUCUUUGCUAUAGCAAGUCUUGGAUUUGCAAUAAAUAUUUUGCAUGGGAAAAAAUGAUUCUUGGACAGUUUUACAAUGCCAAAACAAGUCCUCUGGAUUCCACAUUUGUUUAGUUUCUUAAAAAUUGUACUCUCAUUUGUUAUAAUAAUUCACAUGUGCAUAUUUGGUAUGUAUGAUGUAUAUAUAUUUUUCUUUACUAUCUUUUAGUAUAGUACCAAUAGAAGUCAAGCCCAUCACCUCAAGGAAUCUAAAUCUAAGAUGUUAUUUAACUCAUGUACAUUCGAGGGACUAUGGUAGGUGCUGGGCAUACUUCCAUGCAAAGAUUUUAGUACAUUGUUCAGCACAGUGGACCUUUACCAAGGUCAGACAUUUGAAAAUGAAAGAAGAAACAACUUCAGUGUCUCAUCAGUAGAGAAAUGGUUAAAUAAAUGAUAGUAAAUCCAUACAAUGGAAUGCUGUGCAGCUGUUAGAAAGAAUGAGGAAAAGCCGUAUGCACUGAGUUGGAAACAUCUCUAAGAUGUAUUAAAUAAAAAAAGCAAGUCUGAGAACUAUGUACAUGACAUGACUCCAUUUAGGUUAAAAGAUAUCCACAUAUACAUAUGUAAUAUGUAUAUGUCAAAUAUAUACAUUUUAUUUAUAGAUUUAUACCUAUCCCAUAGACAGAAACUAGAAUACCCAUCACCUGUGACCUUGGGGAAGGGAGCAGUUAAGUCAAGGAGGAAUUUAUUGUUUUGCUCUAACAAUUGUGCAUCAUUUGGAUCACUUAGAAUGUAGUAUUCUUGUUUACUUCCAUGCAUUUUUAAAAUGAUGAAUGGACAACACAAUUGGAGUAAGAUCAAGAAAACUUAUAUAAAUCUUUUUAAAAUUAUUUCUAAUUAUGAUAAAAUUUAAAUGACGUAAAAUUCACCAUCAUAACCAUUUUUAAGUGUACAGUGCAGUGGCUUCAAUUACAUUCACAUUGUUGUGCUACCAAUCAACAACAUCCAUCUUCAGAACUCUUCACCUUGAAAAACUGAAACUCUGUACUCAUUUAGCAAUUCCCCAUUCGCCUCUUCCCCUAGCCCCUGGCAGCGACCGUCCUACUUUCUGCUCCUAUGAUUCUUUUUUUUUUAAAAAUACAACAGAAAGUUUAAAUCUUAGUUUUCUUUCAUUAGGGUAACACCAUUUCCCAAGGAAAUUAUACAAUUUAACACAUUAUUUCACAGCCAAAUGCACUACAUCUGCCUGCUUGUGCUUUGGGUUCGUUUUGUAACAGCUGAACCUACUUCCACGCCUCUUCACUGGGUGAACCGUCCUUGCGGCGCCUCUUGAUGACGUGCCUGGUUUUAAAUGCCUGCGCCGGCUGUGCGCGCAGCAGCAGGAGGUUGGAGAGAAGCGACGCCUGGCUGUGCUGGGAUUUGUAACCAGUGCGGGGGGGCGGGGACCACAGCACAAAGGGGCUCCCGGCAGGAGUGUGGAGCGUGUGUGAGGUUUCCUCGUGCAACAACUCUGACUUAGCGGAGGUUUCAUGUGCAGAAACUACCAUAUUCCUUAUAAAGACAGUUGCCAUGUUGUGGCUGAAUCCGCACAGACGGAGGCUGCCUGGCCGACAGCGUUCGGAACCUGAACCCGCCAGCGCCCUGGGGAAGAUGCCGUCCCUCUGAGUGUCCGCAAGCUGCUGUUGCUGUAAAUUUGACUGCCUCAAGUACUUCAUGAAUUAAGCAGCAUUUAAAAAGACAAGAUGGAACCUGAAGAGUACUGGAAGAAAUAGGAGGGCCUCCAUUCUGGUCUCCGAUCCAGCAGAAUUAGGCAGCAUAUAGAUGGGUCCUGUUUUUUCAUCCAUUCAGCCACCCUACGUCUCUUGACUGAAGUAGUUGGUCCAUUUAAAUUUCAAGUAAUUAUUAAUAGGU